UACGUAGGGACCAAGCGUUGUUCGGAUUUACUGGGCGUAAAGAGCUCGUAGGCGGCUUGUUGCGUCGUCCGUGAAAACCUGUGGCUCAACUACAGGCUUGCGGUCGAUACGGGCGGGCUGGAGUUCGGUAGGGGAGACUGGAAUUCCUGGUGUAGCGGUGAAAUGCGCAGAUAUCAGGAGGAACACCGGUGGCGAAGGCGGGUCUCUGGGCCGAUACUGACGCUGAGGAGCGAAAGCGUGGGGAGCGAACAGG
rnacentral:rRNA from 1 species